rnacentral:rRNA from 1 species
UGGUACCUUCGUCGCGGAGUCAUUCUUACUAAAGAUAACCUUAUUAAGAUGAAUUGGCAUGGAAGUACACAAUGUGUCUUUUGUCACCAUGAUGAGACAAUAAAACAUUUAUUCUUUCAAUGCAAAUUGGCUCGUUCUAUACGAUCAGUCAUCCAAAUAGCUUUUGCCUUGUAUCCUCCUUGUAGUGUUGCUAAUGUAUUUGGCAACUGGUUACAUGGGAUUGUCACAGGUUUAGAAUUCUUCUCAGGGUGGGAACGCUAG